AAUGGGCGAAGCCUGAUCCAGCCAUGCCGCGUUGUGAAGAAGGUCUUCGGAUUGUAAAGCACUUUAAGUUGGGAGGAAGAGCAUAAGUUAAUACCUUGCUGUUUUGACGUUACCGACAGAAUAAGCACCGGCUAACUUCGGCCAGCAGCCGCGGUAAUACGAAGGUGCAAGCGUUAAUCGGAAUUACUGGGCGUAAAGCGCGCGUAGGUGGUUCGUUAAGUUGGAUGUGAAAGACCCGGCUAACCUGGGAACUGCAUCCAAAACUGCGAGCUAGAAGUACGGUAGAGGUGGUGGAAUUUCCUGUGUAGCGGUGAAAUGCGUAGAUAUAGGAAGGAACACCAGUGGCGAAGGCGACCACCUGGACUGAUACUGACACUGAGGUACGAAAGCGUGGGGAGCAAACAGGAUUAGAUACCCUGGUAGUCCACGCCGUAAACGAUGUCACUAGCCGUUGGAAUC
rnacentral:rRNA from 1 species